ACACUCCUACGGGAGGCAGCAGUUGGGAAUAUUGCACAAUGGGCGCAAGCCUGAUGCAGCCAUGCCGCGUGUAUGAAGAAGGCCUUCGGGUUGUAAAGUACUUUCAGCGGGGAGGAAGGCGAUAAGGUUAAUAACCUUGUUGAUUGACGUUACCCGCAGAAGAAGCACCGGCUAACUCCGUGCCAGCAGCCGCGGUAAUACGGAGGGUGCAAGCGUUAAUCGGAAUUACUGGGCGUAAAGCGCACGCAGGCGGUCUGUCAAGUCGGAUGUGAAAUCCCCGGGCUCAACCUGGGAACUGCAUUCGAAACUGGCAGGCUAGAGUCUUGUAGAGGGGGGUAGAAUUCCAGGUGUAGCGGUGAAAUGCGUAGAGAUCUGGAGGAAUACCGGUGGCGAAGGCGGCCCCCUGGACAAAGACUGACGCUCAGGUGCGAAAGCGUGGGGAGCAAACAGGAUUAGAAACCCUAGUAGUCCCA
rnacentral:rRNA from 1 species